GGGUCUGUAGCUCAGUUGGUUAGAGCACUGUGUUGAUAACGCAGGGGUCGUUGGUUCGAACCCAACCAGACCCA
rfam:Hydrogenophaga sp. LPB0072, complete genome.